rnacentral:tRNA from 1 species
UUAAUAGAAGCCAAAAAAAUUAGAGGCUAUUCACUGUUAAUGAAUUUAUUGUAUUAACCUAUUAAA